AAAUAAUAACAAGUCUAAGAGGAGGACGAAGCCAAAUACGUGAAUGAAGCACUCAGCGAGAGAAAACAAAGAUGAGACAGAAGGUGAUGUCUGUGCUGUGCCUUUAUGGAGCUCUGCACUGCUUGGUAAUUCUGGCAGUGUCGCAGGCAAAAUCCUUAGCAAAAGUUUGAAGCUCUAUGAGACCAGCAGCAGAUGCCAGCAGAUGCGACAUCUGGAGCUCAUGUAUGGCCCUGAUGCAUGCAAAUACCAGAAUACCCUCAGCCUCCAACUAAAGUCGACGCCUCCACCUACAACCCAGCCUCCACCCGCUACAUUACCACCUGUCUUCAAGAUGGAUGUUAUACCUAUGUAGUUCAAAAGACCCCCAAUGCAAGCCACAUAUUGAGUAUGUUCGCACUGGUGGUAUACCUGUACUUUGCUAUCCACAUUACCACCCAAUCUGGAAACUUAGCCCUGUCCAGAAGUUGCUCUCUCCACCAAAAAGCAUCUUAAUAAUUCACUCCGACAUUCACGUUUUCUUAUCAAAAGGAUUUAUAAUUUAUAAGAUAAAGUACACAUUACAUAUAAGAUAUAUUAGAGUUAAACCAUAGCCUUAUUUAUAAUAUGUAGCUAGAUUUGUAUUCUUCAAACAAAACAAAUCUUGAGGCCAGAAUAAAGCAUAUGGUCACAUAAAAACUACUUUGGUU
ensembl:lncRNA